AUCAGGCCUACGUGACGACACACUACAAUAACAUAAUCAAAGCUCAAGGAUUGGUCUCCAACUGCCUGUUUUCUUUUCUACAAGAAAAUAAUGGGUUUGGGUAUCAAGUAACUGCAAUAUAGUUCUGGAAUCUUACAUCAAUUGGAGCAGCUCAUUGGUCUUUGCAGAAAACAGCUUUUCUCCAUUGAACAGAAGGUCUUCUACUGAUGGUUGGACUUGGCAGGACAAUGCAGAAGAGUUGAACCAUGAGGCUCGUGUCAUAGUGACUGCUGUUGCCGUAGUCCUCUUAGCUGUGUCUGCUGCAUCAAGUGCAGCUUGCAGGGCUAUUCGCGAUAUUAUCUGGCCUUCUGAGACAAAAGCCUGAAACUGUGCCUUUUUGCUGUCAGGGAUAUCUUCAAUAAAAGCAUUGAAUUUUGUAUAAUUAUUAAAGUCGUAUUUACUUAGUAAAGCAGUGUAGUUUGCCACUCAUCUAAAGAGUGGCCAAGGCAUAAACCUUCUUUUCGAAUGUGUCCAGACGUUUAUUGUCCUUUUCGGAAUGGGGUGGAACAAUUCUGUUGUUUGUUUCUCUGCUGCGCAGCGUCUACUAUGAGGAAGUUGGAUGGGGUGUGUGAAAAGAAGAAUUGAGAACCCUUGGGGGGAACAUCGUAUUUUCGAUCGGCUUUCCUGCAUGUUGGGGGGAUGGAUGCAGGUGUUUGCCAUAGGGUUUUAGCUGGUUCCAAGCUGGCUGGAUUAAUAAGAAGUGCCAUUUUUAUUGCUGUACUGGGCUGGAGGAUGUUAGUGAGAAACCUGAACUUCCUCCAUAGAUAUAUUCAAAUCAUUAGCAACUCUUUUAAAUAAAUCUUGGAAAGAGGAGAGAUCAUCAGUGGUAUGAAUAGUAGGUGGUAACAUUGCCUGCUCUAUGGCUGAGGCUGCGGUUGAAAGUAAUAGAGAUGUAGAAGCCAACAUUGGGGAGCAAUGGCUUUCACUGUCAGUUCCCCUCAUAGAAGUGUGGGGUGACAGGUUUAAAGGAGAGCAGGGUUUCACCAUAUGCUUGGUCUUACAUGGUCUUUUUUAUAUUGUUGAGGUGGUUGAUUGAACAUUUGCCACUGUGGGGGGCAAAGCAUAGGCAGUGGCAUCCAAAAAUAAGGAACCCAGGGACCCAUUUGUGCUCUAAGAAAAUCUGGUUGUUGCUGAUAAGCAGACCAUAUAGAGCCCUUCAUAUAUAGCUGAGGUAAAAAAGCAGGUAAACACUCUUCCUCAUCCUCAGAGAGGGAGUCAGAGUAAUCAGAGAAUGGAGAUUGAGGAUGUAUGUUAUCAGUCAAAUUAGGCGAAUGUAAAUUGGGAGAAAUUGCCAGGUCUUUGUAGUACUUGUGGCUAAUGAGGGGCGUAUGCAGCGUGGAUAGCUCUGCUGACUAUAAACAAAUUGUCUGUGUUGCUGAGGCAGCGCUAGUCUGAGGGGUCCCUGGUAAUGGGAGGGGGGGCCGGCACCCAGUGAUUGGUCUGUGAGGAGAUUCCUCAGUGCUGUGAUAGGACCGGGAAGAGUUCGUAUGGCCGGUGGGAGGGCAAGCACUAAUGUGUCAGAGCGCGGAAUGUGAGGCAAGCAUGGGAAGACCUGUUGCCUCAGUAAGGGCAGACAUGUUACAUUCUUAUUGUCCUUUUUGUGCUCGCCCCUGGGUGGUCAAAUGUGCUCAAGCAGUUAUUGCCUGAGCAAUGUGACUUUCUCCCUUCAGUGUGCUGCUUUCUGGGCUGCUGAUUCACAGAGCUCGCCCUGCCUUUGAUGGCUUAAGGAACGUUUGCCUCUUUGGUGUAUUGCUCAGAUCCGAGCCCAGAUCGGAAGUAUGGUGUAUGUCCUUGUCAGAGAAGGACAUUUUAAGGCGAAGCUCUCUGUCUUUGCGCCUUUUCAGCUUUGUGCAGUUGGAGACAGGCAUUGAGUUCUUGCAAAGCCCACAGCUUUUUAAAGUUGGGUGGCUGGCGUUCGGAGUUCAAGACUGCAUGCAGUUUUUUGUUUUUGUUUGUUUGUUUUACACUAACUCCAAACAAGUGAAAUAACUAUUAACAAAAACUGGAAAUAAGCUAGUAUUAAACAACUAUUUGAAGAAAGAAGUGUAUGAGGAGAAGUCUUUGCGAGAGCAGGAGAGUUCCGUCUGAAGCUGGGGACGGUGGAAAGGAACUGAAGAGAGGGGGGCUGCGCAUGCGCGAUAGUACUGAGGGAGGCUCUUGCACGCUGUGCAUGCGCGGUCCCUGAUACACUGCUGAGAAAAAUUGGUUGAAAAGCACUGGGGCGCUCAACACCUGAUGUAGAGCACCCCCAGGGAUGCCUCCCGACAAAGAACAAGGCUGUUUACAAGUCAUUAAGUUGAACACCAAGUUGUUAAGGCUUCCGGAAGCACAUGUAAUGGCUCUCAUUAGCCCAUUUAAAACGAUGCAAGGAUGAUACAUGCAUCAAAAUAGGUUAUAUAGAUCCAGCAGACUGCAACAUACAAAUUAAUAGGUUACAUCGGGUAUUUUGUUCAAAGCAUCUCUGAGUUACGCAUCAUAAUAAUCAUAAGCCUAUUUUCAUAAAGUAUGGGAGGGGAGGGAAGGGAGAACCAUCACAUUUGCACCCCUAAAGCUUAAACAAGUGUACAGGGAGCUACAUUUUAAAAGCAGAAAUGUGUGUACUCUCUAAAUCCACUAGCUACAAUGAAAGGAACAGUAUCCCUUGAGGAGGGAAGGGGGAAAAUGGAAAAACCAUGAGUGAAGUAUAUGGAUUUUUUUUACUUUGUUUUACUAAAUGCAAUAAAGCACUUCUGAUUCUUGGGAUUCCCUCCAACCUCAUACUAUUAAAGUUAAAAUUAAGCUGUUCAGACAUCAGCCAAGGGUAAGAUAAUAGAGUAUUUUUCCUAUUACUUGUGGCAACAAGAGGAGUACAUUGAAGCAGGCAGGUACACAGAUGGUUUCUCUUAUUAUAGGUGCUGCACAGGGGCCAACAUAUAUGAACAUUCUGAUCUCUGUGAAAAGGAUGUAAUUAAUGACACGGCUAUAAUUUUACCACUAAAAUGCUCUGUAAAUGUAACACAAUACUUGGAAAAUAAUGACUACUCAAAAGUCAAGUGGACAUUAUGUCCAUGGCUAAACCUUAUUGAUACUUUUAAAAUGUUUGUAUUUUAGGAAAAUGGAAAAAGUUUGUUUUUUUUUGAAAAAAUUAGCAUUAAACAUUGUUCAAGGGUACUGAAACUAUUAAUUUAUAUAUUUUUUCUAAUUACCCAUCUUCAUGUUUGUCCAUGAUAGAUAAGGUUUUUUCUAUACAGUUUACUUACCUUCCUCAAAAGAAAAUAAAAGCAUUUUAUAAAUAAUUCAAAUGUAUGCACAGGUGGCAAUUAUUUAUGGGCUAUUCUUAAUUAGUAGUACUGCCUUUGACUAAAAUAGGAGUUCGAUGAGUGAAUAAAGAGGUAUCAUCAACCUAAGAAUGCCACAUUAAAAAACUUCUAGCACUUUAGAGGUAAAUAUCUAAUAAUUUUAAAUUGUUUACUGUAGUGCCUAGGAUCCUUAAUCUUGAUAACACUGUGUUAGGCCCUGUAUAUAAACAAAACAAAAAUAUGAGCUUACAAAGUUUCUAAACUCAAACAUAUACAUGAUGUUUCAAAGCAUAACCAUUAUGCUAGGAUUCAGUGUUUUAUUUUAAAUAAAAAAUAAUAAAGCACUAAUGCAAAGAUUAAGAGUCACAUUUCCAGAAACUGAUUUUUUGGAGAAGCUUAAAAAACAGGAUAAGUAAGGAUCAAGAAAUAUCUAGU